rnacentral:lncRNA from 1 species
GAGACAUUAAAUGGUAAUGAUGUGGUUACAGUUAUUUGCCAAUUGAAGUGAUUCCUGAAGAAGCACAGAGACAUUUAUUUCCAAGCUUUGAAGGGUUUUGUACUUUUUAAUUAGAUUUUGAAAACAGAGCAGCCAUCUACAGAAUUAUAUAUAUGGUAACUGAUGAUGCCAGACUCCUCCAAAAAAUUAAGCACACAUGGGCUAAAUUUUUAUACCGGACAAUGGAAAUUAAACUCACAGUUCCUGUAUUGUUUAAUAAUGUCAACUUAUUUUGGUUUCAUUUUUCUUGUUUUUUUUUCU